GCCUUUUAGUCAUUAUCAUUAUACACAAGUUCUAGCUCAUAGAGUUUAUUUAUUAAACAAAUAUAUUUAUAAAUCAUUAGUGAUCAUUCAUUUGGUCUAUCUUUAUAUUAAGAAAAACACAUCAGUGCUCUAGCUAGAAAUCAAAAGGGGCAGGGUGCCAGUGGAGGGCAGGGCACUUUUUAUGAUAAGAAAAGGCACUGCUCAUUUUUUUGUCUACGUUUCUGUGUGUAUCACGAGUUAACGAAUCUCUUUUUUUUUUUACUGUAUAUGUUGUUUUUUUUAAAUAAAGAUGCUUUUCAACUAUAGUCUUUAUUUAAUUGUUUGUGUAGUUAUGAAUGAUAUAGCAGGGCUCACACUACUUCAGAAUUAUAGGGAGAAGUGACUUCUCUUUUUGAAACUGAUAGGGAGAAGUGGUGAGAUUUGAAAGAGAAGUGCUCAUUCGCGCGGGUGCGCUACAAUGUUUGGAUUUUACAAUAGUAUAAAGGGCCAUAUGUAAAUAAUGUUCUUUUUAUGUUGUUCAAUUCAUAUGAGUAAAAAAUUACAAUUAAAGUAACAUUUGAAAUUAAAAGUUGUUUAAGUUUUACUAAGGUUCUUGUGAGAAACUACCAACUAAAUAUCUAGCACUAAAAAAAAAA
rnacentral:lncRNA from 1 species